GAUGAACGCUGGCGGCGUGCCUAAUACAUGCAAGUCGAACGCUGAGGGAGGAGCUUUCUCUUCUGGAUGAGUGGCGAACGGGUGAGUAACACGUAGGUAACCUGCCUGUUAGCGGGGGAUAACUAUUGGAAACGAUAGCUAAUACCGCAUAACAACAGUUAUUGCAUGAUAACUGUUUGAAAGUGGCGACUGCUCCACUACCAGAUGGACCUGCGUUGUAUUAGCUAGUUGGUGAGGUAACGGCUCACUAAGGCGACGAUACAUCGUCGCCCGGGGAGGGGGGUGAGCCAGCCUGGGACGGAGACCCGGCACAGAGGGACACGGGUAGGAGCCGUAGGGAAUCUUCGGGCAGCGGCGGAAAACAGAGCGAGAAACGCCGAGGGCGGGAAGAAGGUUGUCGGGUCGUGAAGCUCUGUUGUCAGGGAAGAAAGAGUUUGCGAGUGGAAAGUACACACUGUGACGGUAUCUUAUCAGAAAGCAACGGCUAACUACGUG
rnacentral:rRNA from 1 species